AAGACCUUGCGCUUUUGGAGCGGCCGAUGCCUGAUUAGCUUGUUGGUAAGGUAAAAGCUUACCAAGGCUUCGAUCAGUAGCUGGUCUGAGAGGACGACCAGCCACACUGGGACUGAGACACGGCCCAGACUCCUACGGGAGGCAGCAGUGGGGAAUUUUGGACAAUGGGCGCAAGCCUGAUCCAGCCAUGCCGCGUGAGUGAAGAAGGCCUUCGGGUUGUAAGGCUCUUUCAGCCGGAACGAAACGGUUACGAUUAAUACCUGUAACUACUGACGGUACCGGAAGAAGAAGCACCGGCUAACUACGUGCCAGCAGCCGCGGUAAUACGUAGGGUGCGAGCGUUAAUCGGAAUUACUGGGCGUAAAGCGUGCGCAGGUGGUUUUGUAAGUCAGAUGUGAAAGCCCCGGGCUCAACCUGGGAACU
rnacentral:rRNA from 1 species